GACGAACGCUGGCGGCGUGCUUAACACAUGCAAGUCGAACGGAAAGGCCCUGCUUUUGUGGGGUGCUCGAGUGGCGAACGGGUGAGUAACACGUGAGUAACCUGCCCUUGACUUUGGGAUAACUUCAGGAAACUGGGGCUAAUACCGGAUAGGAGCUCCUGCAGCAUGGUGGGGGUUGGAAAGUUUCGGCGGUGUGGGAUGGACUCGCGGCUUAUCAGCUUGUUGGUGGGGUAGUGGCUUACCAAGGCUUUGACGGGUAGCCGGCCUGAGAGGGUGACCGGCCACAUGGGGACUGAGAUACGGCCCAGACUCCUACGGGAGGCAGCAGUGGGGAAUAUUGCACAAUGGGCGGAAGCCUGAUGCAGCAACGCCGCGUGCGGGAUGACGGCCUUCGGGUUGUAAACCGCUUUCGCCUGUGACGAAGCGUGAGUGACGGUAAUGGGUAAAGAAGCACCGGCUAACUACGUG
rnacentral:rRNA from 1 species